rnacentral:rRNA from 1 species
AGCGAACGCUGGCGGCAGGCUUAACACAUGCAAGUCGAGCGGGCACCUUCGGGUGUCAGCGGCAGACGGGUGAGUAACACGAGGGAACGUACCCUUUGGUUCGGAACAACUCUGGGAAACUGGAGCUAAUACCGGAUACGCCCUUAUGGGGAAAGGUUUACCGCCGAAGGAUCGGCCCGCGUCUGAUUAGCUAGUUGGUGAGGUAACGGCUCACCAAGGCGACGAUCAGUAGCUGGUCUGAGAGGAUGAUCAGCCACACUGGGACUGAGACACGGCCCAGACUCCUACGGGAGGCAGCAGUGGGGAAUAUUGGACAAUGGGCGCAAGCCUGAUCCAGCCAUGCCGCGUGAGUGAUGAAGGCCUUAGGGUUGUAAAGCUCUUUUGUUCCGGGACGAUAAUGACGGUACCGGAAGAAUAAGCCCCGGCUAACUUCGUGCCAGCAGCCGCUGUAAU